rnacentral:rRNA from 1 species
GGAAACAGGUGCUAAUACCGAAUGUGCCCUUCGGGGGAAAGAUUUAUCGCCUUUAGAGCGGCCCGCGUCUGAUUAGCUAGUUGGUGAGGUAAAGGCUCACCAAGGCGACGAUCAGUAGCUGGUCUGAGAGGAUGAUCAGCCACAUUGGGACUGAGACACGGCCCAAACUCCUACGGGAGGCAGCAGUGGGGAAUCUUGCGCAAUGGGCGAAAGCCUGACGCAGCCAUGCCGCGUGAAUGAUGAAGGUCUUAGGAUUGUAAAAUUCUUUCACCGGGGACGAUAAUGACGGUACCCGGAGAAGAAGCCCCGGCUAACUUCGUGCCAGCAGCCGCGGUAAUACGAU